rnacentral:rRNA from 2 species
CUACGCUGCGAUAAGCCGUGGGGAGCUGCGAAGAAGCUUUGAUCCACGGAUUUCCGAAUGGGGAAACCCACCUUCGAUAGCCGGAACUCCAAGACCUUGUGUUUUGGGGUUCGACCAGAAAUGGAAGAAAUCAGACCGCAAGGUUUUGGAUUUCCGGUUAUCAAGAGAAGGUAUGAGACUUCCGAAUAAAAUAGGAGGUUUUAAGCAAACCCAGGGAACUGAAACAUCUAAGUACCUGGAGGAAAGGACAUCAAUCGAGACUCCGUUAGUAGUGGCGAGCGAACGCGGACCAGGCCAGUGAUACAUCAAAGACAAUCGGAACCUGUCAGGAAAGCAGGGCCUCAGAGGGUGAUAGCCCCGUACGAGUAAUGCGAUGAUGUAUCCACGAGUAAGGCGGGACACGUGUAAUCCUGUCUGAACACGGGGGGACCACCCUCCAAGCCUAAGUACUCCUCAGCGACCGAUAGU